rnacentral:ncRNA from 1 species
AUACGCAACCCAUUCACAACGGAUCGUCGGGCACGUACCUGCCCGUGAAGGGAAACACCA